UACGGAGGGUGCAAGCGUUAUCCGGAUUCACUGGGUUUAAAGGGUGCGUAGGUGGCUUUGUAAGUCAGUGGUGAAAUGCCGCAGCUCAACUGCGGAACUGCCAUUGAUACUGCUUAGCUUGAAUCACGUCGAGGUGGAUGGAAUAUUACAUGUAGCGGUGAAAUGCUUAGAUAUGUAAUAGAACACCGAUUGCGAAGGCAGUUCACUAGGCGUGUAUUGACACUGAGGCACGAAAGCGUGGGGGAUCAAACAGG
rnacentral:rRNA from 1 species